rnacentral:rRNA from 1 species
CUAUCCCUACGGGAGGCAGCAGUAGGGAAUCUUCCACAAUGGACGAAAGUCUGAUGGAGCAACGCCGCGUGAGUGAAGAAGGGUUUCGGCUCGGAAAGCUCUGUUGGGAGGGAAGAAAGAUAGAGGUAGUAACCGGCCUUUAUUUGACGGGAACUACUUAGAAAGUCAAGGCUAAAUACGUGCCAGCAGCCGCGGGAAUACGUAGGGGGGAAGCGUUGUCCGGAUUUAUUGGGCGGAAA